AUAAACAUCAGCCAUGCCCGUCGAGUGUUUGCUUCCUUGGGAAGGCUAUGAGAAGUGUCUCCAUUCCCUGUACAGCCUGGAACACUGCAUUGACGACCCUGGUUCAUUGUCAAUAUCCUGGAAAAUAUUCCAAACUUUCUUCUUAGUAAAUCCCCUGCAAUUGGUAAG